AGCAGCCGCGGUAAUUCCAGCUCCAAUAGCGUAUAUUAAAGUUGUUGCAGUUAAAAAGCUCGUAGUUGAAUUUCGGGAUCAAUGCGUCGGUCGUGCUUUCGGGUACGUACUGGUGUCAUUGGUUUCUCCUUUCUGACGAGCCGUGAUGUCAUUAAUUUGGUGUUACGGGUAGUUAGGACUGUUACUUUGAAAAAAUUAGAGUGUUUAAAGCAAGCUAACGCUUGAAUACAUUAGCAUGGAAUAAUGAAAUAGGACGUUCGAUCCUAUUUUGUUGGUUUCUAGGAUUGACGUAAUGAUUAAUAGGGAUAGUUGGGGGCAUUAGUAUUCAAUUGUCAGAGGUGAAAUUCUUGGAUUUAUUGAAGACUAACUACUGCGAAAGCAUUUGCCAAGGAUGUUUUCAUUAAUCAAGAACGAAAGUUAGGGGAUCGAAGACGAUCAGAUACCGUCGUAGUCUUAACCAUAAACUAUGCCGACUAGGGAUCGGAUGAUGUUAAUUUUUUAAUGACUCAUUCGGCGCCUU
rnacentral:rRNA from 1 species